AACAUGCACACCUCGCCCAGAUCUUUCGGAGACUCCCUUAGAGAAUCCAGACCUCAUUUUGUAUGUAGAUGGGUCAGCCUCGCGCUGCCCACAAACAGGACAGGGACAGGUAGGAUUUGCUGUAGUUUCUGACACUGAAACUAUGAUUGCUAAAUCUCUCCCAAACCAUUUGUCUGCACAGGCUGCUGAGCUCAUUGCCCUCACAGAAGCAUGUAAGUUGGCUGAUGGCUCAUCUGUUACAAUCUUCACGGACUCAAGGUAUGCUUUUGGAGUGGUGCACGACUUUGGUGCACUGUGGAAGCACCGACAAUUUCUGAAAUCUGACGAAAACAGGUUUCAGCGGGUCUGCCUAAACCAGCUGAGGGACCACUGCAUAAGCUCCGGCCUGGGGACUUUGUGGUGAUCAAAAGUUUCAGGAGGAAGAACUGGCAGUCCAGACGGUGGGAAGGACCCUUCCAGAUCCUCCUGGUCACUCACACAGCAGUCAAGGUCGCGGAACGAUCCACGUGGGUGCACGCAACACACUGCAAACUGGUUCCAGACCCAGGAGGGGUGCCAGGUUCGCUAACACCUGCAACAAGUGACGAGCAGGUUCCCUGCUGAGUCACCUACGAGGGAAAUCAAUUCAGAGACCAGCUUGACAGACGGCGUUCUGUGCUAUCUCUGAAAUCAAUCCGGGAAAAAGGAGUUUUUCUCACUGAUUUGCAAACACACUGAAGGAGGAGAGAAAGUGUGACCAACAUACUGGUAUUGUACCUUUUUGAACACAGCACAUUCCUGAAAAA